UACGAGGGGUGCUAGCGUUGUUCGGAAUCAUUGGGCGUAAAGAGUAUGUAGGCGGCUUAAUAAGUCAGUUGUGAAAUCCCCGGGCUCAACCCGGGAAGUGCAAUUGAUACUGUUGAGCUUGAGUAUGGAAGAGGGUAGUGGAAUUCCAGGUGUAGUGGUGAAAUACGUAGAUAUCUGGAGGAAUACCGGUGGCGAAGGCGGCUACCUGGUCCUAUACUGACGCUGAGAUACGAAAGCAUGGGUAGCAAACAGG
rnacentral:rRNA from 1 species